rnacentral:rRNA from 1 species
GGCGGACGGGUGAGUAACGCGUGAGAAUCUGCCUUCAGGAUGGGGACAACAGUUGGAAACGACUGCUAAUACCCGAUAUGACGAAAGUUGAAAGAUUUAUCGCCUGGAGAUGAGCUCGCGUCAGAUUAGCUAGAUGGUGUGGUAAAGGCGCACCAUGGCGACGAUCUGUAGCUGGUCUGAGAGGAUGAGCAGCCACACUGGGACUGAGACACGGCCCAGACUCCUACGGGAGGCAGCAGUGGGGAAUUUUCCGCAAUGGGCGCAAGCCUGACGGAGCAAUACCGCGUGAGGGAGGAAGGCUCUUGGGUCGUAAACCUCUUUUCUCAGGGAAGAAUAAAAUGACGGUACCUGAGGAAUCAGCAUCGGCUAACUCCGUGCCAGCAGCCGCGGUAAUACGGAGGAUGCAAGCGUUAUCCGGAAUGAUUGGGCGUAAAGCGUCCGUAGGUGGUCAUGUAAGUCUGUGGUUAAAGCGUGGGGCUCAACCCCAUAAGGGCCAUGGAAACUACACGACUAGAGUCAAGUAGGGGUAGAGGGAAUUCCCAGUGUAGCGGUGAAAUGCGUAGAGAUUGGGAAGAACACCGGUGGCGAAAGCGCUCUACUGGACUUAA